rnacentral:lncRNA from 1 species
AUGGAGUUGAGUAAAAGAAACUUUUGUUUUCAAGACAACAACAAAUACAAUAGCAGUUGCAUUUCACUCUUGUCUAUCUUCUCUCCUCUGCGACAUAACCAAGAUUCUAAUGUUGUUGAAGAAACUAUUGAAUGGAAUAAACCUGGAAUAAACAUAAAUCAGAAGAACCAACAGUAUGAAAAAGGGUGGGGUUCUGCGUGUGAAUACGAGUAA